rnacentral:rRNA from 1 species
CUCUGUGGCCAUACCACCCUGAACACGCCUGAUCUCGUCAGCUAAGCAGGGUCGGGCCCUGUUAGUACUUGGAUGGGAGCUCAGCUUCUUCCUGCUGCAGCAA